rnacentral:rRNA from 1 species
AUUGAACGCUGGCGGCAGGCUUAACACAUGCAAGUCGAGCGAGCGGCGGACGGGUGAGUAAUGUCUGAGAAACUGCCUGACGGAGGGGGAUAACUACUGGAAACGGUAGCUAAUACCGCAUACCAUCAGAUGUGCCCAGAUGGGAUGAGCUCGUAGGGGGGGUAAUGGCUCACCUAGGCGACGAUCCCUAGCUGGUCUGAGAGGAUGACCAGCCACACUGGAAAUGCGACACGGUCCAGACUCCAACGGGAGGCAGCAGUGGGGAUUAUUGCACAAUGGGAGAAAGCCUGAUGCAGCCAUGCCGCGUGUGUAGAGAAGGCCUUCGGGUUGUAAAGCACUUUCAGUGAGGAGGCGUUACUCGCAGAAGAAGCACCGGCUAACUCCGUGCCAGCAGCCGCGGUAAUAC